rnacentral:lncRNA from 1 species
GGGCACGACACGACGGCAGCCACAGGGAGGAACCUUGACCUCAUCUUUACCAAGAUGGCUGCUUCUAGUCAACUCAGAAAUGCCGUCUGCAGUGAGCUCCCCAAACUUCCCCUAGACAUUCUUCAGUUUAGAGCUAGGGGACUUCUGAAAACGCCGUCGGUGAAGCAGAAUUUAACAAUAACACCGCCAAUCUAAAUAAGCCUAUGCCCAGGGAACCACUUUGUCACUUAAGUUUACUUGGCUCUUUGACUUUGCCAUGUUGGGUCUGGGACUGGAGACACCCAGCUCCUUCCCUUACGGGAAGCUUCUGGAAAACCGACUCAGGAACAGAAGCGUGUCUAAUUUUCUACAUCUUGUAGAAGUGAUUCUCCUCAUAAACGGACGAUUUGUCACGACACUGGUUCGGUAAUAGUAUUACAAUGAAAACACCAGCUACAAAAUAGAUGGGAUCUUUAUAGAACUCCUCAGCUUUCCAGUGGAAAUGAAUCAGAGUUAGCCUGAGUUCCCCGGAGAUGGAAGAGGCACAUUUAAAUUAGCACCUCAAUUGCAAAAAUAAUGAAAUCAGUUUCACCCUGACUGUAAGUGAUAAGAUAUGUGGACGAAGGAAAGGGGUGCCUUGCAGUUUAGGGGCAGGUGGCGGCGACAUUAAAAUUAUUAUCAAAUACCUUUUCUUUUUUUCAUUUUGAUUUGCUGGAUACCCUUAAAACUUUAAUGUUCUCAGUGCCGCCAUAAAAACAGUGGCCUAGUCAUAGGAAAUUUUAGUGGACUAAUUGUAAUGACCAUAUAGAUGUCACUGGUUUCGUCAAUAUCAGAUCCAUAUAACAUCACUCAAACCCUGAAUGACUUGGUGGAUUCAGGGGUCCCACUACUGGCGUUUUAAACAGACUUAGAGUGAACCAAAUGUGGACUGGCUAGCUGUAGAAAACGCUCCCAUGGGACAAUCAAUUUCAAAAAGGUAGUUCACACUGUUUAGAACCUGUCUGCCCCUGGGCCUUGAAGGGGGAUCUGAACAUUGGCCAUGCCAAUUGAG